GAUAGUGAGAAUUGAGCAGCUUCCAACAGGGGGAGCAAGAUGGAGUCACAGACCCAGGUGCUCAUGUCCUUGCUGCUCUGGUUGUCUGGUGCCCAUGCAGAUAUUGUGAUGACCCAGUCUCCAUCCUCCUUGGCUGUGUCAUCAGGAGAGAAGGUCACAAUCAGCUGCAAGUCCAGUCAGAGUCUUUCAAUUGGUAGCAGUAACUACUUGGCCUGGUACCAGCAGAAAGCAGGGCAGUCUCCUAAAUUGCUGAUCUACUGGGCAUCCACUCGGCACACUGGGGUCCCUGAUCGCUUCAUAGGCAGUGGGUCUGGGACAGAUUUCACUCUCACCAUCAGCAGUGUCCAGCCUGAAGACAUGGGAGAUUAUUUCUGUCAGCAACAUUAUGAUACUCCUCCCACAGUGCUUCAGCCUCCAAAAAAAAAACCUCCUCUAAGAGUCUCACCUGCUGCCAGUACCACACAGCUCGGAACCUGCACCCUUCCCCUUUUACCUUAGAGCCCAAAUACUCAUCAAAUACCAAUGAAAAUGUUUGCACAGCCCAGAGAAACAAUGGAUUAAAUUUGUUUUAUAAUUUUUGUUAUGAAAUACAUUUGUAUAAAAGUGUAAAGGAGAACACAGGAUUAUCCUUCUCUUCCUUCUGUAACACAUUGCCACAAACUCUGUUGUUUGAAUAUGAGGGAUUUAUCUUUUUAUAAUUUUGGAUUUCUGAUGUUUAACAUAAGACUCUUUCAUCUGAAGUGAUAAUAAUGGCAAACUGUAUUUUGGUUUGGAAACUCUAGGAAAGAGUGUUUUUUUGCAUUUUCUAGAUCCUGGAGAGUUUUCUUACUUGCUUAUACUGGUGCCCAAUUCUUGUGGUUUUGUUUUCCGUUCCAUAUGUUCUUGUAACUUUUAUUUUGUUUUAGAUAAUUAUCUGAAUCUGUGUGUAUGCAUGUGCACAUUUGAUAUAUCAUAUUCUUGGAGGUCAUAGAAUACUUGAACUAGUAUGUAUCUUUGUUGUUUUGUUUCUGGGGUUCAUGCUCAGGUUUGCCAUCAAGCUUGGUAGAAAUGUCUUUGUCAUCUGACUAAUUAUUUUUCAUAUAUAAAAGUUUAGGUUUGUGAUUCCUUUAAGUAUUUUUAUUGGAUUACUUUUCAAGAUAAAUUAUAAAGUAAUUGGCCUUUUCUUUGCACUGCACAAUUCAGUCUGCCAUUAAAAGAACUGAUAAUAACAGCUUGCUUGCUCACAUAAUUAAUCUAUUGACAAGUUGCUUGGGUAUGACGUAAUUGUGUUCUUGAGAUAAUUUUUCAUACAUAAAAUGCCUAAUAAUGUAUAUGUAUUAGAAGUCUUUCCCUGACAUUGUGAAUUAAAAUUUAUAAAACUAUGCUGGUGAGACUUCAAGGGUCUAGUUUCUGACAUUACUAAGAAACAUAAAGUAAAGGCCUUGAAUCUAUCUCCUACAACCUUUUCCCCUUCUUUUCACAAUGUUCUCUAAGAAUUAGGUGUGGGUGUGUUUUAUAAAUAUAUCCAUUAUGACUGGGCUCAGCAACUCUAUUGCAAGUGGUUGUGGCUUUCUAUAAAGGUUUCCAUAUGUUUCAGAGUACUUUACUUUCUGCAAGAUGAGGAGUGCAGGUAUCUGUGUUAUGAGGUUAAAUUGCUUACAGUUCAGUUGAGGAUUGUGCUCAUUUAGUUAUGUAAGGUAAUUAGAUUCUUCUUUAAGAUUCAUAUCUUCUCUACAUCUGAGUAGUUGAUGAGGCCAGGCAUGAUUUCCCUCUUGCUGAGUAGGUCUUUAAGUUCAAGUAGAUAUCUGUUGGUUUCAAUCUAGGUAUACAUACCAGUCUUGACUACUUGCUGGACUUUGGCAUUCAUAGGUGCCAUAGCUUGCUAGGACUGUUGUUUGCUUCUAUCCUUUGGGCAUUUGCAUGGUACAUUCUGGGUGUCAUUAAAUAUUUACCACAUGGUAAAGGCAUUCAAGUCAUAUCCAGGACAGGAGUCUCUGAGACUUAUUUCUAAAGUGCAUGGUGUAUGAAGUACAAUGUCGGGCAUAUAAGAUUGUGAAGUAGGUAUCCAAGACAAACAUUAACUGAUAACAAAUUAUGAGUAAAUUUGAUUUAAAACCA